rnacentral:rRNA from 1 species
AUUGAACGCUGGCGGAAUGCUUUACACAUGCAAGUCGAACGGUAGAGGGGGCAACCCCCUUGAGAGUGGCGAACGGGUGAGUAAUAUAUCGGAACGUGCCCAGUCGUGGGGAUAACGUAGCGAAAGUUACGCUAAUACCGCAUACGAUCUAAGGAUGAAAGCGGGGGAUCGCAAGACCUCGCGCGAUUGGAGCGGCCGAUAUCAGAUUAGGUAGUUGGUGAGGUAAAGGCUCACCAAGCCAACGAUCUGUAGCUGGUCUGAGAGGAUGAUCAGUCACACUGGAACUGAGACACGGUCCAGACUCCUACGGGAGGCAGCAGUGGGGAAUAUUGGACAAUGGGCGGAAAGCCUGAUCCAGCCAUGCCGCGUGUGUGAAGAAGGUCUUCGGAUUGUAAAGCACUUUAAGUUGGGAGGAAGGGUAGUAACCUAAUACGUUGCUACUUUGACGUUACCGUACAGAAUAAGCACCGGCUAACUUCGUG